AUUCAUGUAGAUUAAGAUUAAAAUUGUUAGGCUGUUAACCUUAAGAUGAAUUAUGUUUCCAUGAGUG
rnacentral:tRNA from 1 species